UACGUAGGGGGCAAGCGGUUGUCCGGAUUUAUUGGGCGUAAAGAGCGGUGUAGGCGGCUAGGUAGGUCCGUUGUAAAAACUCGAGGCUCAACCUCGAGACGCGGAUGGAAACCAUCUAACUAGAGUCCGGAAGAGGAGAGUGGAAUUCCUGGUGUAGCGGUGAAAUGCGCAGAUAUCAGGAAGAACACCCGUGGCUAAGGCGGCUCUCUAGUACGGUACUGACGCUGAGACGCGAAAGCGUGGGGAGCGAACAGG
rnacentral:rRNA from 1 species